UAGGGAAUCUUCGGCAAUGGACGAAAGUCUGACCGAGCAACGCCGCGUGAGUGAAGAAGGUUUUCGGAUCGUAAAACUCUGUUGUUAGAGAAGAACAAGGACGUUAGUAACUGAACGUCCCCUGACGGUAUCUAACCAGAAAGCCACGGCUCACUACGUGCCAGCAGCCGCGGUAAUACGUAGGUGGCAAGCGUUGUCCGGAUUUAUUGGGCGUAAAGCGAGCGCAGGCGGUUUCUUAAGUCUGAUGUGAAAGCCCCCGGCUAAACCGGGGAGGGUCAUUGGAAACUGGGAGACUUGAGUGGAGAAGAGGGGAGUGGAAUUCCAUGUGUAGCGGUGAAAUGCGUAGAUAUAGGGAGGAACACCAGUGGCGAAGGCGGCACUCUGGUCUGUAACUGACGCUGAGGCUCGAAAGCGUGGGGAGCAAACAGG
rnacentral:rRNA from 1 species